GAUGAACGCUAGCGGCAGGCUUAAUACAUGCAAGUCGUGGGGCAGCAUGAGUAGCAAUACUUGAUGGCGACCGGCAAACGGGUGCGGAACACGUACACAACCUUCCUUCCAAGCGGGGAAUAGCCCAGAGAAAUUUGGAUUAAUACCCCAUAAAAUAUAAAAAUGGCAUCAUUUAUAUAUUAAAGCUUCGGCACUUGAUGAUGGGUGUGCGGCUGAUUAGAUAGUUGGCGAGGUAACGGCUCACCAAGUCUACGAUCAGUAGCUGAUGUGAGAGCAUGAUCAGCCACACGGGCACUGAGACACGGGCCCGACUCCUACGGGAGCAGCAGUAAGGAAUAUUGGACAAUGGACGAAAGUCUGAUCCAGCCAUGCCGCGUGAAGGAUUAAGGUCCU
rnacentral:rRNA from 1 species